rnacentral:rRNA from 1 species
UACGUAGGGGCCAAGCGUUGUCCGGAUUUAUUGGGCGUAAAGAGCUACGUAGGCGGUUGGGUAAGUCGGGUGGUGAAAACUCCAGGCUCAACUUGGAGAUGCCACCCGAUACUGCUCUGACUUGAGUUCGGUAGGGGAGUGGGGAAGUUCCUGGGUGUAGCGGUGGAAAAUGCGCAGAUAUCAGGGAGGAACACCGGUGGCGAAGGCGCCACUCUGGGCCGAAAACUGACGCUGAGGAGCGAAAGCGUGGGUAGCAAACAGG